GUUGUCGUCUUCCUCGUCACGCACGCAGCUUGAGCCCCUCCGUGGCCGAGGUCCCCCUCCACCUGCUCCCCCUCCUCCUUAUCUUCUCGCCCCAGGAACCCUAGCCACCAACCCAUCUUCCUCUCCCUCCUGCCGCCGCCAACCCCCUCUCCCCUAUCUCUUUUCUCUGUGGGCAAACGAAGAAGAGAAAACCCCACUGCCACCAUCCUCUUCACCAUGGCACCGCCGCUCCCCACCUCCCCUCGCUGGUCUGAGGGCACCGUUCGAUGUGCCUCGUCGUCCUCUUCAUCCUCCCCAAAGGAAUCGAGCCGGGAGAGCUCCAAUCGCCGGCAAAUUCGCCGUUUCCGUCUCCAAGUCCGGCGAGAAAAUCGUCAAAUUCCGGCCGCCCUCGCCCUUCUAAGGCCAAACCAAGCACAUCCCCGGCUUCCUCGUGUUCAGGCGCACCCCCGACGCCCUCGCGCUUGUCCUCUUUCGCCCGCAGCCGUCAAGUUCUUCUUCCACCAGGACCGUCUGCCAUGGUCGUCCUGGCCCAAAGCUCCGCCUCGCACGCUUCCAAUCAAGGCGCACCUCCUCCCGUACAAGAAGCUAACAUCAGCGCAGUGAUCUCGUGGGCAGAGAUGCUUCAUUAGGCGUGGAGCCUUUUCCAAACCAACAUCAACACCAAAGUCCAUCUGGUUCGUUGCUUGGUCUUUGUCUUUGGAGACCCAGGUUCAAGUCACAGGGCCCCAGAUUUUUGAUCCAACCUUUCUUCUUUUUCUGCUCAGAUCUGGCGCCUACUGGGCCUCGACCCGUUUCUCGUCAAGUGCAGCCAUCGCCCACGCGGCCCAGAGUUUCCCAUCGCCAACGCAGACCGGAUCCGGCCCAGAACGUCACAGCAUUUGCUUCUUCCCGGAUAGGAUCACGAAGUGGUGAUGUGAGAUACGACGAGUUCUCCGACAAGUUCUUCUACAGUUUUUCACAGGCGAGCCCACCCCUUCACCUAUUUUACUUUUACAUGCUCUUUUGAUCUAUUGCUAUCCCUAUGUCACGAUUCUGUUGUGUCACGUGUCCUAUCCACCUGUUACCUAUAUGUCCGAGAUACACCUCCUCGCCCUACCUAUUGUUUGUUGUUUGCCAGCUUUGCGAGUCGUAGGCGAGUUUAGGGUCUUGUUGAUAUCUCGAGAUGUUCGGGAUAUCUUGUUGGGAGGUUAUCACAUGCUAUAUCUUUUGUUGGAGAUAAUCACACUUUACUUUAUUGUUAACAACUAAAAUUGUAAGCAGAGGCAUCUGUGAGCCCCUUUGCGAAAGCAUCGGAACUUUGACUCGCUAAUGUCCCCUAGGACCCGAGUUCUUGUUAUCUGUUCCGAGAUUGAGCGCUCUACCCGUACGUGGGGGAAUGGGACCCCCAUCACCCACUACCUUUCCUCGAGUCUGUUUAUUGGGAGCCACAACCUUGGUUUUAUUUGCCCAUAUGCACGAUGCACGAUUUACUUCCUGUUGCCUUCGGGUGUUUAUUUCGUCAUCUGUACUCAUAACGCGGGACUCCUUAUCCUUGGCCGGUCGUUAGUGCCCGCCUUGGAAGCCGUCGCAAACCUCUGGGUCCGUAUCGGAGUACGGCCGGACUUCGUCACGGGUAGCUUAGUUGGGUGGCUCCCAUUAAAUUUUCUCUUGCAUUGGGAACGGUCUUGAUGUGAGACUCCACCUGUAGUAAGUGGGUUCAAGCAUGCGUAUGGUUACAUUUGGGCAACCCCUGCAGGGUGUACAUCUUAUCGAUAAGCCGUGUCCGCGGUUAUGGACGACUUGGAAUUGUAUAGCUUGAUCAUAGAACAACUUACACCGUUAUCUUGUUGCUAAUAAUCUGAUAAUAACUUGCGUAGUAAUAUAGCCUUACUACAACCGUUACCCAAUAAAACUUGUCCACCGUUGAGUGCCUUUUACAUUGCCUCUUCGCAAUUGUUGGAGGGGAUAUGUGUAAUCGGCUGGGUUAUGUUUGUGUAGUAUUUAUCUGUUACCUUGUGCGCUCUCUUAUCUUCUCUGAGUAGACGGAUGUUGUAGCGUGUCUCUAUUGGAUAGUAGCUUUGCUGCCGCUAACUCCACAUAUAGCCGGGUGAAGUUUAUACCGCCCACCAGCGAGCAUAGCUGGUCUUGUCUCGCAAGUACGUGCCAAUGGUACUUACCCUCGCCUUCCUUUCUUUUUGUCUCCUCCCCCUUUUGUCGGCAACCGAUGGCCCGACUUUGACAGGUACGAGAUGACGACGUUAGCAAGGUUACCCUUCCGGCUUGGCUCGGGCGGGGUUAUGGACGCCGCUGGUUAUAUUCAGGACUCUUAGUCCAAUUUGUAUCUUGUCCGUACUCGGACGUAUUUGAUCUUCUGUAUGAUUUGGAUCUUUGUAUUGUAUAUUUGUAUCUUGACUCGUUGGAGUCAUUGUUGUAAUAUAUGUUUCUUGUGGGCUCUAUUGUAAUCCUGUUGUAAUGUUA